GUGAGGAAUAUUGGUCAAUGGGCGGGAGCCUGAACCAGCCAAGUCGCGUGAAGGAAGAAGGAUCUAUGGUUCGUAAACUUCUUUUGCAGGGGAAUAAAGUGCAGGACGUGUCCUGUUUUGUAUGUACCCUGAGAAUAAGGAUCGGCUAACUCCGUGCCAGCAGCCGCGGUAAUACGGAGGAUCCGAGCGUUAUCCGGAUUUAUUGGGUUUAAAGGGUGCGUAGGUGGUUUGAUAAGUCAGCGGUGAAAGUUUGCAGCUUAACUGUAAAAAUGCCGUUGAAACUGUCGGACUUGAGUGUAAAUGAGGUAGGCGGAAUGCGUGGUGUAGCGGUGAAAUGCAUAGAUAUCACGCAGAACUCCGAUUGCGAAGGCAGCUUACUGGGAUGCAACUGACGCUGAGGCACGAAAGCGUGGGGAUCAAACAGGAUUAGAUACCCUGGUAGUCC
rnacentral:rRNA from 1 species